rnacentral:lncRNA from 1 species
UUUGCAUAGUUUAUGAAUUCUACUUAGUAGGGACCUAAACACAGGAAUGGUUUUUCUCAGAGUCAGACCACGCCACGCCUUAUGACGAAAGGGGGAGAAAGGACGGAUCACCCGUCAAUCUGUGUUCAAACAAAACUAUACCUGAAGAAUGGGAUACAGAUUGACCGGCACAAAAGCCAUCUCUAUCAAUCUAUGCUCAUGGAUGAGACGGCAACAUAGAGAAGAAAGUAUAUCGUUUGCCACUCCUCGUGUCACUUAAAAGUAAAGAAGAGAUACACACUUUGGAAUCCAAAUUUGGUGGGAUCGAGGAUGGAAUCAAAUAGCGAAUGCACUUGCUUGCGGUUAAGACAGGUCCUGCAUCUCCUACCUAAUGCAAUUUACAGACCCGGCAUCUCUUUCGUUCAAUAAUGCCUUCGCUUCAAGACGCUAUUUACCAAUAAGAAUAGGAAAAAGACACUACCUUUUUGAAUUGAAGAAGUCGAAGUGGUGAGCUCGUCUUGCUUGUUGGGAGAGAGGAAGCUUCCGGACCCCCUUUUCCAGCCAGAUAAUGAGCGAUCACUCAGCAAUG